rnacentral:rRNA from 1 species
GACGAACGCUGGCGGCGUGCUUAACACAUGCAAGUCGAGCGGUAAGGCCCUUUCGGGGGUACACGAGCGGCGAACGGGUGAGUAACACGUGGGUGACCUGCCCUCAGCUCUGGGAUAAGCCUGGGAAACUGGGUCUAAUACCGGAUAUGACCUCAUGUCGCAUGGUGUGGGGUGGAAAGUUUUUCGGCUAGAGAUGGGCCCGCGGCCUAUCAGCUUGUUGGUGGGGUGAUGGCCUACCAAGGCGACGACGGGUAGCCGGCCUGAGAGGGCGACCGGCCACACUGGGACUGAGACACGGCCCAGACUCCUACGGGAGGCAGCAGUGGGGAAUCUUGCGCAAUGGGCGAAAGCCUGACGCAGCGACGCCGCGUGAGGGAUGACGGCC